rnacentral:lncRNA from 1 species
AUAUGAUCACUAAAAAUAAAUUAGUUCCCUCUUGUGCAUAUAUAACUUUAAUUUUUUUAAAUAUAUUUUGUGGAGUUCCCGUCAUGGUUCAGUGUUUAACAAACCCAACUAGGACCCAUGAGGAGUGUGUUCAAACCCUGGCCUAGCUCAGUGGGUUAAAGAUCCUACAUUGCCUUGAGCUGUGGUGUAAGUUGUAGACAUGGCUUGGAUCUGGAGUUGCUCUGACUGUGGUGUAGCUAGCAGCUGCAGCUCUGAUUCCACCCCUAGCAUGGGAACUUCCACAUGCUGCAGCCCUAAAAAAAAACACUAAACAAAUAAAAAAUAAAAUAUAUUUUAUUACUUAGGGUUUGGGGGCUUAUAAAUGUUAGUAUUUAUGAACACAGGUUAAGGUAUUAACAUGCAAUAUUAUUGCAAAAGUUGAGGCAUUCUGGGUUGUGAAAACAAAGGCUUUAAAUCCCCCACUCUGCACCUGAGCAUGGUUGGCAUUUCUGUGGGGAAGCUCAGUGUUCACUUCUGAGUGAAUUGUGACCACAGAACAGCAGAGCUCAGGCAGAGCCUCUUUUCAUUUGGUUACUUUUCAACUAUUUAUUGCGUGACUGCUAUGUCCCACAUACUGUUCCAGGGUCUGUGAGUAGAAAGAAACAAGAUCCCAUUUUCAUAGAGUCUGUACUCUCUUGGGGAGAGAUCCACUGAACAAAUGAAUUUUAAAACUAUUAAGAGCUCAUUGAAUGUUCCAAAGGACAGGACAGUAUGAGAGUGUAACUAGUAGAGUAGCCAUGUCCAGAAAGAAAAGCUAUUGUGGGAGGAAACCUCCACCCUCUUAGAUUUCCUGACUGGGUAUGCAAAUUAAGCUGACAGAGUCACAAGAGAAAAGCAUACACAUUUAUCUCACAUAAAUUGUUGUGACAUAGGACCCUUCUGAAGUAAACAGAGACCAGAAGAAACAUACCUGAUAUUUUAUGCUUUUUCAUGAGGAGCAGGCAUGGGAGGAGCAAAACAGGUAAGAGAAUAUGGGCUCAGUGUAGUAACCUGAGAAGCGACAGACCUGUCUCAUAGGAUUCUUCUUCAUGCCCCUUUGUCUUAGAAGCUAAGGAUGCUCCUUUCUUGCAGAUGUAGGGAGGGCACAGCUCAGAUGAGGGUUUUAUAACCGGCUUUGUGGGAGAUGAGAAGAGGGAAAGUUACAGUGACUUUCCAUUUUGUGUUGUUUUCUCAAAUCCUUCAGCUUAGAAUACUCAACAUACUAGCUACCAUAUUUUGGGGAACUGUGUUCUGCACCCCAUCACUAUCUGUGUGAAGAUCUGAGCAAGAUGGAGUUUCCGUUGUGGCGCAAUGGAAAGGAAUCUGACCAGGAACCAUGGGGUUGCAGCUUUGAUCCCUAGCCUCACUCAGUGGGUUAAGGAUCAGACGUUGCCAUGAGCUGUGGUGUAAGUCGAAGACACGGCUCAGAUCCCAAGUUACUGUGGCUCUGACCUAGGCCGGCGGCUACAUCUCCGAUUCAACCCCCUAGCCUGGGAACAUCCACAUGCUACAGGUGAAGGUGGGGAGGGUGGGCAGGGGUUUUGGGGGAGAGGGGUUAGGAUAGAUGGGCCCCAGGAACAGGAUAUGGAAGGAGCUGCUUCCACACCAGAUCUUCUUCUGAGGGAAAUCUACCAAAUACCUCUCACCUCUUAUGACUUUGCUUCUGAAACUCAAUGUGGCCUUUGCUCAAGGGAGCCUCUUAUGCAGAAUCAUAUUCCAGGAGGUACUUUUGGCCACUGAUAAAGGAAAUUCUCCCAUAGAGGUGUGGAGACGUCAUUCUGGCUUAUGCAUGAGUUAACUUGAAUUUCCACUGACUAGAACAGCCUGUUUGUAACCUAUCACACAUACAUUGCACCUCUGCUUUAACGAUUUUUUAAAGAUUUUUAUUUCUUUAAUUAUAGUUGAUUUACAAUGUUCUGUCAAUUCCUGCUGUAUAGCAAAGUGACCCAGCCAUAUAUAAAAUAUAUAUAAUACAUACACACACACACACACACUUUUUUUUUUUUUUUUUUUGCAAGCAAGCAAAAUCUUUAUUACAGGAAAGAAAACAGCUCCCAAAACAGCUGGGAGGAGGGAGAAGAGCCCCCUUCUUUAUUGUCUUAUAGGGGUUUUUAUCCCUUAGAGAUGGGGGUACCAACGUGGGGUCCAGAAAGAUAUGGUUUUCUCCCAUUGGCCUUGCCCAAAUACUUAAAAGGGGUCCCUGUCCAAAAGGGGUCUCAGGGACAGGAAUGUCCCAUAAGUCUCAUGGUUUCUUUGUCCUUUUCUUCUCAUAAACUGAAUCACAGGGAGAUAGGGAUUAAUGUCCAUCUGGGCAUAGGUGCACUCCCUGUAGUAAACAAGGCCUGUGGGGAUGUUACUCCCUGGAGCCCUUAAGCCACAAAUGUUUAUCAACAGCCAUAUCGAAUGCAUCAAAGCCUAUGCUCCUACACUAACUACCUGAGUUAUUAUUCUGCCUCAAUCCCUUCUUCUAGAGUUGGAGACUCUAACUUCAGGGGGAAAGGGAGCUACCACCACUCUGACUGCUUCCUGCUGUACAGAGACAUUGUUAGGGGAAAGAAGUUA